UUCAUUGACGGAUGAAACUACAACCAAAUUACCAGCUAUUCCAAUCAAUCAAUUUGGAAACAAUAAAUUUACAAGUCAAUCUGAUUUCAGUCUCAAGGAUUCUAAACUCUACGCCGUUUUAAAAGGAUCACCACAAGAAGAUACCAGCACAUCGGUAUCGGAUAUCGAGGAUUGCGAUACGAAUGACAGUGAUGAUUGUCCUCGUCCUCUUGGCAUUGGCCCAAGACUAAGUGAGACACUCUUAAAAGUGCUUACAUUCUAGACUGGGAAAAUUAUAUAAAAAAUUUAAAUUAACAAUAUAUUAAGAGUUCGUGGUGUGGUUAUAAUUUUAGACAUUAAAAUGCAUUACUAUUUUCCCCAUGGACCUCAUAGAUUUUAUUGAAUCGAUCCCUAAUUGGUAUACUUUUAAUGGGUUUUUUUGCAAAAAACCUAUUACGUGAAUACAUUUUGCAAUCCGAUAGCAACGUCUAAUGAACCCGUUUUGAGUCAAUAAUCAUUUAAUGCAUUCUUGUCUAACUAGCAGUCAUGUCAAUCUAUAUAAAACUUACUGUAAGCGAGCCAUCGAUUCUCAGUAUCGUGUUGAAAAUGCAAGCCCAGUUACUUAUAAUAGUGCUAAUCGGUUGGAAUGGUUUAUGGGCAGCGCCCCAGAGGGAAAUUGAAACGAACAGAACAAAUGUCGAACAAAAGACACUUCCAAGGACCACAUCUGCACCCACUACCUUACACCCCGCAAUGAAGGAAGAGAAAAGUUGGAAUAGAGCAUCAAUCAAUGUAACAUCAAAGAUCUCAACAAAACUGGAUAUAUCUACAACAGAAUCUCAACCCAAACAAACUACAACAACUGAAAGGGAAAAUAAUACGAGAAAAGAAAUUGCAAACAAUUUAAAUGAUAUUCAAGUGCCUCGGCAAGUUUUUCGAGAAUCAUCAGAUAAAUUACCAACAACUCCAGUGAAAUGUGACUCAAGUGACCAUUAUUAUGACGAUUGUGGAGUUCGUCCCAAGAGUAUUGGACCUAGACUUAGUUCAAAGCUUCUAAAAAUACUUGCCAUACUAGGAUAAAUUCAAAGUUUUGCUAACAUAAAAUCCCAUCUAAGUCCAGUUGUAUUAUUAUAUUUAAUAAGUUAAAAUAAACUCAAUUGCAAAGAAUUCAA